UAGCAUAUCAAUAAGCGGAGGAAAAGAAACCAACAGGGAUUGCCCCAGUAACGGCGAGUGAAGCGGCAACAGCUCAAAUUUGAAAUCUGGCCCCUCGGGGUCCGAGUUGUAAUUUGUAGAGGAUGCUUUUGGUGAGGUGCCGCCCGAGUUCCCUGGAACGGGACGCCACAGAGGGUGAGAGCCCCGUCUGGCUGGCCGCCGAGCCUCUGUAAAGCUCCUUCGACGAGUCGAGUAGUUUGGGAAUGCUGCUCAAAAUGGGAGGUAUAUGUCUUCUAAAGCUAAAUAUUGGCCAGAGACCGAUAGCGCACAAGUAGAGUGAUCGAAAGAUGAAAAGCACCUUGAAAAGAGGGUUAAAUAGUACGUGAAAUUGUUGAAAGGGAAGCGCUUGUGACCAGACUUGGGCGCGGCGGAUCAUCCGGGGUUCUCUCCGGUGCACUUCGCCGCGUCUGGGCCAGCAUCAGUUCGUCGCGGGGGAAAAAGGCUUCGGGAACGUGGCUCCUCCGGGAGUGUUAUAGCCCGUUGCAUAAUACCCUGCGGUGGACUGAGGACCGCGCAUCUGCAAGGAUGCUGGCGUAAUGGUCACCAGCGACCCGUCUUGAAACACGGACCAAGGAGUCGUCUUCGUAUGCGAGUGUUCGGGUGUCAAACCCCUACGCGUAAUGAAAGUGAACGCAGGUGAGAGCUUCGGCGCAUCAUCGACCGAUCCUGAUGUUCUCGGAUGGAUUUGAGUAAGAGCAUACGGGGCCGGACCCGAAAGAAGGUGAACUAUGCCUGUAUAGGGUGAAGCCAGAGGAAACUCUGGUGGAGGCUCGCAGCGGUUCUGACGUGCAAAUCGAUCGUCAAAUAUGGGCAUGGGGGCGAAAGACUAAUCGAACCUUCUAGUAGCUGGUUUCC
rnacentral:rRNA from 1 species